GGGAAGAGGCUAGCAGAGGGAGAGAGGAUCAUGGGGAGGGGAGGUGAAGGCACGGAGAGUAACAAGAGAAAAUAUGUCACAAAGAAGUGACUCAUGGGAGGGGUGUCACAGGAGGAAGGUCACAGGAGGAGGGGGUUCGUUGUGGAGGGAGGGUCACAGAGGCUGACAGUCACACUGAGCAGGGAUUAUUAAUGGGGAAGAGGAACCACACAUUAAAGAGAAUGUCACAGGUGAGGGGGAGGGGUCUUAGCAAAGGUGGUCAAGAGGGAGGGAAGGUCAAAAAGGAAGGGGUUAUGGGGAGGUGAUGAGGAAGAGAAUGUCACAUAGGGAAGAGGAGGUCAUGGAAGCAUGAUGUCAUAGGGUGGGAGGGAGGGUGACAGGGAAGGGCAGCCAGAAGACCUGAGGGCAACACAGAAGUGUAGGCUCUGGGUGCCUGUCUACAGCGCUGUAAAGUCCUGGUGGUUGCCCCUGGGUUCCCUCCAGUGCCAGGAAGCUUUGGAAAGAAUGCUGAAACCCUCAAGCCCCUUCCUGCUCUUGCCUCUAGGGUCCAGGAGAGAGCAGAGGCCUGUAGGCCUGCAGACACCAAGUCCCCAGGGCUUCCAAAACACGGGCUUCUUCUACAGGAAAAUAUGAGGAAAAGACAGUCGUCCCCAGACAGCCAGUUCCAGCGGGAUGACCUAGAGUGGCCUUUGCCAUCUGUUGGUCCCAUUGAAACAUCACGGGAUUUGAUAUCUCAACCAGAGUCACUAAACAGAUCAUACCAGGACGGUUGCCAGAAAAGCACCUAGCCUGCAGGUCAUUUGUCUGCGUGACCUUGGGUUUCUGAAGCUGUGAAAUGGGCUCAUCCAUCUUGCCAGAACUUGGGGAAUGUUAAGGGUGAGUGAAAUAAACAUUUGAACCCAAAGAACA
rnacentral:lncRNA from 1 species